AUGAACGCUGGCGGCGUGCCUAACACCUGCAAGUCGAGCGGCAGCGAGGGGUGCUUGCACCCUGUCGGCGAGCGGCGGACGGCUGAGUAACGCGUGGGAACGUGCCCCAAAGUGAGGAAUAACUGCCCGAAAGGGUAGCUAAUACCGCAUAUUAUCUUCGGAUCAAAGGAUUUAUCCGCUUUGGGAGCGGCUCGCGUCGGAUUAGGUAGUUGGUGAGGUAAUGGCUCACCAAGCCGACGAUCCGUAGCUGGUCUGAGAGGAUGACCAGCCAGACUGGAACUGAGACACGGUCCAGACUCCUACGGGAGGCAGCAGUGAGGAAUCUUCCACAAUGGGCGAAAGCCUGAUGGAGCAACGCCGCGUGCAGGACGAAGGCCUUCGGGUUGUAAACUGCUUUUAUAAGUGAGGAAUAUGACGGUAACUUAUGAAUAAGGAUCGGCUAACUACGUG
rnacentral:rRNA from 1 species